UCAGCCUCCCAAAGUGCUGGGAUGACAUGCCUGAGCCACUGCGCCCAGCCUCCUGCACACGGUUCACGUCCAUGUCUGGGGCAUGGCCUUCUUCCAUGAGAUGUUAUUGCAGUGCUUUCCAUGCUUUCACGUGCAUGGGAAUCAGCUGGGGAUCUUGUUAAGAUGCAGACUUUGCUUCUGCGGGCGCUAGGUGGCCCUGAAAUUCUGCAUUCCUCACUGGCUUCCAGGUGCUCCCGGUGCUGCUGGUGGGGCCGUAGGUUAGAUGGCAGAUGAGAGCACAAGUGAAUGCCAGGCUGGACAGCAGGGACCUCGCCUGUUUUUUUCAUUCUUUCACAACCAGUGUGAUCUACCCAAAACAGGCACUGAAAUGUCCAUUGCCAUCCUGGUGAUCUGGAAGGCUGCUGUGCAAAGAAGAAUGGGCUGCCAAGGAGUGACAUUCGGGUCUGGAUUUAGUCCAGCGGGGGAUGCGUCACGCACCCAAGUGAUGGCCAGCGGAGAGGAAGGCUGACGUGGAAAUAAAUAUCCGCUCUGU